UACGAAGGGAGCUAGCGUUGUUCGGAAUCACUGGGCGUAAAGCGCACGUAGGCGGAUGUGUCAGUCAGGGGUGAAAUCCCGGAGCUCAACUUCGGAACUGCCUUUGAUACAGCACGUCUUGAGUCCGAUAGAGGUGGGUGGAAUUCCUAGUGUAGAGGUGAAAUUCGUAGAUAUUAGGAAGAACACCAGUGGCGAAGGCGGCUCACUGGCCCGGUACUGACGCUGAGCGCGAAAGCGUGGGAGCAACAGG
rnacentral:rRNA from 1 species